rnacentral:rRNA from 1 species
AGAGUUUGAUCCUGGCUCAGGAUGAACGUUGGCGGCGUGCCUAACACAUGCAAGUCGAACGGAAAUAGCAAUAUUUGAGUGGCGCACGGGUGAGUAACACGUAGCUAAUCUACCUCAAAGCGUGGGAUAACGUGUCGAAAGACAGGCUAAUACCGCAUAAGCUCGCAACCUGUAGAGGGUUGCGAGAAAAGGCGUAAGUCACUUUGAGAUGAGGCUGCGGCCCAUCAGCUAGUUGGGGUGGUAAAAGCACACCAAGGCGACGACGGGUAGGGGACCUGAGAGGGUGACCCCCCACACUGGGACUGAGACACGGCCCAGACUCCUACGGGAGGCAGCAGUGAGGAAUAUUGCACAAUGGGCGCAAGCCUGAUGCAGCGACGCCGCGUGGGUGAAGAAGGUUUUUGGAUCGUAAAACCCUUUUCUGUGUGACGAGCAAGGACGGUAGCACAGGAAUAAGUCUCGGCUAACUACGUGCCAGCAGCCGCGGUAAAACGUAGGAGACAAACGUUAUCCGGAGUUACUGGGCGUAAAGGGCGUGUAGGUGGUUUUGUAAGUCUGGCGUGAAAUUUUUCGGCUUAACCGGGAAAGGUCGUCGGAUACUGCAGGACUAGAGGACGGUAGAGGCGUGUGGAAUUCCGGGUGUAGUGGUGAAAUGCGUAGAGAUCCGGAGGAACACCAGUGGCGAAGGCGACACGCUGGGCCGUACCUGACACUGAUGCGCGACAGCAUGGGGAGCAAACAGGAUUAGAUACCCUGGUAGUCC